rnacentral:rRNA from 1 species
GAUGAACGCUGACAGCAUGCUUAACACAUGCAAGUCGACUGGUGGCGGACGGGUGAGUAACGCGUAUGGAACUUGCCUCCCAGGUUGGGACAACAUUUGGAAACGAAUGCUAAUACCUAAUACUGUGAGAGAGCUUUGCGUCGCAUUAGCUAGUUGGAGAGGUAACGGCUCACCAAGGCGAGGAUGGGUAGCCGGCCUGAGAGGGUGAUCGGGCACAAGGGGACGGGGACACGGCCCUUACUCCGACGGGAGGAAGCAGUGAGGGACAAAGGCCAAAGGACCAAAGUCUGAUGCAGGAAUUCGGUGUGCAAGAUGAAGCUUUCGGAAUGAAAGGUGCUUUCUGUUGGGAAGCGGUACCAGCAGAAGAAGCGACGGCUAACUACGUGCCAGCAGCCGCGGUAAUAC